GCUGUAAGUUGCUGAUAAUCAAAUAUAGAACGAAGGUUUCCUAAACUUUAGAUAGGGGUUCGAUUCCCCUCGGGACUACA
rnacentral:tRNA from 1 species